UGAGUGUGUGUGUGUGUGUGUGUGUGUGUGUGUGUGCGUGCGUGCGUGUGUGCGUGCGUGCGUGCGUGCGUGCGUGCGUGCGUGCGUGCGUGCGUGCGUGCGUGCGUGCGUGCGUGUGUGUGUGUGUGGUUGAGGCCUCUUAUGCAAUGAGGCAGUUAGACGACAGUGUCGUUGACUCAUUUCUUACAUGGAAGUCCUCUUCCAAUGUGAUUAACCUUGCCGCUUGUCUGAAUAAAGCGAGGUGUAAAAUUCCAUGGCAGAGACUCAGGCGACAGGAUGCCCAGACUUGUCAAGACAUUCCAAGCCAUGGCCUCGGGGGGGGGAACAGCCACAUCUCCGCUGCCAUCUGUCCAACUGGCAACGCGGGCCGCCGUGCCACACAAAAGACAAGAGGAAGUCACCGUUUACACAAGUCGUCUGGCACGGAGACAAAUGGAGUUUUUUCUUGCAGAGUUUUCCUUUCAUCAAGUUUAAUUGUAAGCUGCCUAAUUUAAAACAAUAUACAUGAUGUGACGAUAGAAUUGAAUCACUCUCUUUUUCCAAAGUGAACCAUUUACUAAUUGUAAAGCCGGGUUUAUUUGUGGAGCCCGACUUAAGGGUACAUACAUGCCCUAAUUAAAUAAAUAAAAAACACUGUUAACAUGAAUCCUUUAUCCAUAGGAGAGAAGAAAAGCUCAAUAAUCUUUGCUAUGGAAUGGGCACCGAUGACCAUUUCUAGAGGUGAUUUUCUUGAGAUAGGCAACAGAUGGAGAGACAGACAGGCAUAUUUUUUAAACGGUGAACGUUGAUCGUAGCAUUUCCAAGAGUCAGCUUUUAAGUGGAUAUUUUUGCAGUAUCGGAAAUAGAUUCGAAGGUGAACCCCGUACGUUUGCACAGAGAAUGCUAUUACGCAUCUAGUUGACAGUAGCCAGAUCUCAGGAGUUCCCUCUGUAGGGAGUAAGCCUUGUGGCUUCGGUUCAGGUUCUGAACAGAUCGGUUACGCCUCGAUCCCGCCUUAAAACGAAUGACGAAGUUCAUCUGCUGAACUGAAUAAAACAGUCGCGGCGCCUGAGGCAAGUCAAGCAAGCAAAACAUUUUUCUUUUUGUAAUCAGAAAUACGCUGAAUAAUUACGUCCAAAAAGUAUCUGCAUGGAAUGCUUUUCUGUGAUUAAAUUUUUUUCCAACCUAUAUUAAAAGUAAAACAUAAGUACUCGAUAGCUUCAGUAGGCUAGUGUACACCACUCCAAAAUAAAAGAGGCAAACCUUUCAUACAUUUUUAUUUGUCAUGGUCCAUGGAUGGUUAUAGUUUUAAUGGUAACAGCAAUGGCAUUCAGGACUGAAGGAGCUAAGUGGAAAUACACAGAUCUGCAUACUAUUAUUAGUAUGAGGUAGCAGGUAGGUCGCAGGUAACAGGUAUCAGGAUCAUGUGCUCAUUGGAAGAGAAAGGAUACCAUUGCACCCGAGACGAGAUGGAUUUCAUCAGUCACUCUCAUCGCCGCAGAGACAACGCGGAUGAUGACACGUUGUCAGCAACGGUAAAUAAUGCUACAGGGUUAGCCAAACUCAACAAGAAAAUGUUUGACAUAUCCAUUACUGAAAUAUGGCUUUAAUUGCUAAGGAUUGUUACGCACCAAUUAUAAACAAUCAAGACAUGACAACUAUUUCGGCAAAUUUGGCAACCUCAAGCCUUUACUCAUUCCCAGCCUGAGAACCACUACUUAAAGUGAGCGUUUGUGCCCUGAGGAGUUAAACAGCUAUACUCAGUGACCCUGCUGGCAAACACAGGCUGAAGAUGAGAUUAAGUAAUCCGUCCCGCAUUGCACCUCCUCCACUCCAACAUUAAACUAGCUAGGAUUUGUCGGCGGUGUAUAAACACACAUGAGAUGACAGUCCACACAAACAAUACGCAGACAGACAAUGCCAGCGAAAACAGUGAUUCAUGUAAGCCGCUCAUUAUCCGCUCACCGCACAACACACCGGCGUUCCCAUUCAUGGCUUGACUUCGAACACCCGCCGUUUGACUCAGGCACGAACAACGUUUGCGGGGAUGAGACAGAAAGUUGAAUGGCAGUCUGCCCAGCUCACUUCAGUCACUGCACCUCUGGCACCCUGCCUCAACAGUACGACGGCGUGGUGCUAAACGGUGAAUAAAACGAUAACAAACAUGUGCCAUAAAUAUAUUAUGACAAGGUCAUCGUCCUCAUUAGAACUCCUCCCAUCGGCCAAUCCGACAUCUGCUUUAGUCUGAUGUCAUCACUCACCUCAUCACAAAGAGGAGGUCACCACGGUAGCUUCUUAGAGCUCUCGCUGGCGUCACGGUUCUCUUGCAUUCAUUUUAUUGCGUGCCAACAUAUUUGGUUGAUGAUUGUCAGUAUCGACACAUUUUAUGAAUUACCGUUGGCGACGGUAGUGUCUUUGAACUUUAAUAAUCAAACCUUCCAUCAAAACUUCAUUUGCAUUCUCCCAUUGCUGAAUUAUCCCUCAGAGGAUAAACGCACUAAGAAGAGGCUGCUGAGACCUC